UACGUAGGGGGCAAGCGUUGUCCGGAAUCAUUGGGCGUAAAGAGCUCGUAGGCGGCUUAGUAAGUCGGGUGUGAAAACCCCAGGCUCAACCUGGGGACGCCACCCGAUACUGCUAUAGCUAGAGUCCAGUAGGGGAGUGUGGAAUUCCCAGUGUAGCGGUGAAAUGCGCAGAUAUUGGGAGGAACACCAGCGGCGAAGGCGGCACUCUGGGCUGGUACUGACGCUGAGGAGCGAAAGCGUGGGGAGCGAACAGG
rnacentral:rRNA from 1 species